UAAACAAGUGUCACAUGAUCACAUUCAUA
rnacentral:piRNA from 1 species